AGCUUUUUGAAUCCGUGCGCAGAUUUCGUCAGACACCAACCCAUUAGGGGUUAUCAGACUUCCAAGAUAAGUGGAGCU
rfam:Schistosoma rodhaini strain Burundi genome assembly, scaffold: SROB_scaffold0006698